rnacentral:rRNA from 1 species
AUGAACGCUGGCGGCGUGCCUAAUACCUGCAAGUCGCGCGAACGGACGAGAAGCUUGCUUCUCUGAUGUUAGCGGCGGACGGGUGAGUAACACGUGGAUAACCUACCUAUAAGACUGGGAUAACUUCGGGAAACCGUAGCUAAUACCGGAUAAUAUUUUGAACCGCAUGGUUCAAAAGUGAAAGACGGUCUUGCUGUCACUUAUAGAUGGAUCCGCGCUGCAUUAGCUAGUUGGUAAGGUAACGGCUUACCAAGGCAACGACGCAUAGCCGACCUGAGAGGGUGAUCGGCCACACUGGAACUGAGACACGGUCCAGACUCCUACGGGAGGCAGCAGUAGGGAAUCUUCCGCAAUGGGCGAAAGCCUGACGGAGCAACGCCGCGUGAGUGAUGAAGGUCUUCGGAUCGUAAAACUCUGUUAUUAGGGAAGAACAUAUGUGUAAGUAACUGUGCACAUCUUGACGGUACCUAAUCAGAAAGCCACGGCUAACUACGUG